rnacentral:lncRNA from 1 species
UCUAGAAUUCUCUGAGUUUUUUGAGCUUAGAGCAGAGUUUCUCAAGAGCUGCAAUACUGGCAUUUGAGUCAAGUCGUUCUUUAUUGUUGGUGGUGGAGGGGGCACCCUGUAUAUUGUAGGACGUUGGGCAGCAUCUCUGACUUCUACCUACUAGAUGCCAGUAUCUCAGUUUUCUUAAAAGACUUUUUUUUUUUUUUUUUUUUUUUUGAGAUGGAGUCUUGCUGUGUUGCCUAGGCUGGAGUGCAGUGGCACCAUGUCGACUCACUGCAACCUCCGCCUCCCCGGUUCAAGCGAUUCUCCUGCCUCAGCCUCCUGAGUAGCUGGGAUUACAGGUGAGCACCACCAUGCCCAGCUAAUCGUAAAAGACUUUUCAUAAAACUUCAGAACUCCUUAAAAACUAGUGAAUAGCCAAGGUGAAGAAAGCCCUCAGGCUUCUGACUUUAGACCCCAAUCCCUGGGACUCCCACACUCAGCAAAGAAAGCUGGGUGCCUGCACCCUGGAUCUCUGAGCAAACCUGUCUUAUGGCUGUGGGCAACUCAGGAACAUGAAUUAGCACGAGAAUCUGGAGUUUUUCUUUCCUUUUCUGGGAGGCAGUCAAUGGUGAAUGCUGGCCUCGCUGAUUACUCACCUGGAGACCUUUCUGAGGAUCAGUUUUCUCAUCUAGAAAAUGGGACAACUGCCAGACCACUGAAGAAAAUACAGAAAACAGCCCCACACAUCAGCAUGUUUGGUUGCUGCCAGUCUACUUGGAUCUGAGUAUUUUUUCUUGCCAUGAAUGUGACGUGAUUAUCUUCUCCUACAUCACACUGAAGUUUUAUGAAUGAUGCUUUGAAGUGGGAAGGGCCAGAGAGUUAAUAUUUUCGGCUUCUUGGGCCAGCUGGUCUCGGUGGCAGCUACUGAGCUCUGCCACUGCAGCAGAGAACGGGCACAGGCGAUAUGGAAAUGAUAGGCGCGGCUGUGUUCCAAUAAAACUUUAUUUACAAAAAUGGGCAGUAGACCAGAUUUGGUCUGUGUCUUAGAGUUUGCUGACCCUGCUUUAAAGAAACAUCAAAGAGAUUCUACCAGCUGAUUUCCUUGCUCCCAAAAUUCUUGUAAGGACUAUGGCUGAGUUAGGAAGUUAUGUACUUUAAUAGCUAAUUUCAGGCCUGGCGUGGUGGCUCACGCCUGUAAUCCCAGCACUUCGGGAGGCUGAGGUGGGUGGAUCACUUGAGGUCAGGAGUUUCAGACCAGCCUGGCCAACAUGGCGAAACCCUGUCUCUACUAAAAAUACAAAAAAAUUAGCUGGGCGUG